GUCUUUAUCUAUUGAAAUAUUAAUUUUGAUUUUAUACAUGUUUAUAAUGUGUUGAUUGGACUGUCAAUUCUAUUUAAAUUACAACUGACAUAUAUCAAAUACUUUUAUAUUGUGGAGGAGCUAGAUUGUUGUACCAAGCAACAAAACCAAGCAUAUAUAAUAUAGAACUUUUUCCCAUGUUGUAAGUUAGAACUCUACAUAGAUAUACUUCGUCUAUUUGUCUCGUUCUUUGCGUCGCUACAUUUUGGUGACCCUGGAGUGAUAUUGUCGCUGAAGACUGUAAGUUUUCUCUCGCCAACGUACCUGAAAUUGGUUUUGACAUCUAGUUUUCCACAUCUAGUACCAAAUUAAGCUUUCCAGUGAUUUCAAGAGUCUGUUUCAGUUUAUUUCCAGCAUUUUCAAGUAGCGAUUGAUGAGAUGACAGAAGAGCGAGGAAGUGACAUGAUCCAGCCGAUUCUACUGCCUCAAACCUUAUAUUUUUGGAGCCUCUGUCUCAGUGUUCCCACACUGUCCUCACCAUCAUCAUAAGCCUAGUGUGGGUGUUCAGUUGAGAACCGCCGAUGGUACCUCCAUGAACCCUUUUGGUUCUUGUCAGAUAACUCUCCAGUUCGGUCCCUGCCGGUUUGAGUGAUCCUUUCUCCUUGCAUGUCUCACAGCUGUACUGUGUUUAUCAAGUUAGAUCCUACCAAGGGUUAUUAUCAAGUGCCAAUGACCAAAGGGGACAUUCCAAUGACGGCAGUGAUUACUCCUUUUGGUCUCUUUGAGUGGAUCAGGAUGUCGUUUGGUUUGAGAAUGAUGGACCAGAUUCUCAGUGAAAUUCCCCACUGUUUUGUGUAUGUUGAUGACAUGAUCAGAGUCACACCUCUACUCAUGUCCACCAAGUUCUCAACCGCCUCCGCCUCCUCAGCCUCAGCAUCAACCCUGCCAAGUGUGAAUUCUCUAAACAAGAGGUUGAGUAUCUUGGUAUGAGAGUGCCCAGCAAGAGAUGUUUUCCUCUCCAGAAGCAGUCUGACGUCAUUUCCGCUUUCCCUCACCCUGAGGUCAAGAAGGGUCUCCAACGAUUUCUUGGUAUCCUCAACUUCUACAGGAGAUCCAUCAAGGGUACUACAGGGAUUCUUGCUCGGCUGACUGAAGCAUUGAAAGGGAAGGUUUCAACUUUCUCCUUGACUUUGAAAUGAAUCCAGCUUUCUCCGCAGCCAUGUCUGUUCUCUCAAAUGUUCCAACCCUUGUACAACCAGAUACUUACACCAAAGUUUCCCUCUCUGUGAAUACCUCUGGUUCCCACAUCAGAGCUGUUCUUUAACAAGAUGUUGCAGGUUCUUGGGCUACUCUGGCUAUCUACUCUAAAAAGCUUUCCUAUGCCCAGUCCAGAUACUCCGCCUUCAACCGAGAGCUUUUUGCAGCUUACUUCACUCUCCUCCAUUUCCAGUUCCUCCUAGAAGGUUUUCUCCGCCCUGGUCUGCCAUGCAGCAACGCCCCCUGUCUUUACUAUCAGAAUUCAACUGUGAUAUUUGCCGUCUCUCUGGUGCAGAGAAUGUGGUAGCUGAUGCCUUAUCUUGUCCUGGUCCUGCUCCAGAUACAGCUGAGAUUCGUUCUACAUUGUCUCUGCCUACCCCGCCUUCAGUUCCAAGAAUAUCUUAUUUAGAAAUGUCCAAAUUUCAACAGUCUUGUCCUAAAGUCCAAGUCCUCCGCCAGUCCUGCUUGUCCCGUUCCUGUCUCCAGCUUGCAUGGGUUACUCUGUGAUGUCUCUACAGGUAUCCACCGUCCCCUAGUUCCAUAGCCUGUGAGAAAAGCAGUGUUUGACUCCAUCCACCACGUUUCUCAUCCUGGUAAAUGUGCUUCCCGGCGACUGGUUUCCCUGAGUUUUGUCUUGGAGUUUCUAGAGAAGGAUGUCAACAUGGGCUCAAUCUUGCCUCAACUGCCAAUAGAGUAAGGUACAGAGUCAUGUGAAGUCUCCAGUUCAUCAUAUUCUGUUGCCUGGACGGAGGUUCUCUAAUAUUCAUGUGGACUUGGUUGGUCCUCUUCCUCAGUUCAAUGGGUUCUCCUACCUGUUCACCAUCAUUGAUCAUUCAACCAGAUUCAUAAUUUUUUCCCUCUGAAGCUGUGUUUGGUUCGCGAUAGUUCUACCAUACUAUUUCCUGGAUAGCCCUGAGCUCCCUUCUCCAGAGUAUCUCCGACAAAUCCAACAGAUUAUUAAGAAUACUUCUGUUGCUCCACCUCAUCACAACUCAGCUCCGCCAUCUUCAGUUCCAGCACAAGUUCCUCCAAGUUUGCUCCAACCCAUGUCUUUGUCAGAGAAGACAAUUUAUAAAAAAAUUAUGGUAACAUCAAAAAUUGAUAAAAAGGGGGGGGGGUUCCAAACAUCGUAUUCUAGGACGGACACUCAAGUUUUUUCUGAUCUUGAUCAUACCUUGAAAACUAUGAUAUCUCAUAAAAUAACAAUUUAAAAAAACUUUAAACAAAACUAAUCAAAAUUGUAUGCGAUUAUUUACUAGAAAAUGGCCAGCUAAUACUCACAAAAACA